rnacentral:misc_RNA from 1 species
UACGGAGGGUGCGAGCGUUAAUCGGAAUUACUGGGCGUAAAGAGCGAGUAGGCGGCGUGAUAAGCCGGAUGUGAAAGCACCGGGCUCAACCUGGGAACGGCAUCCGGAACUGUCAGGCUAGAGUGCAUGAGAGGAAGGUAGAAUUCCCGGUGUAGCGGUGAAAUGCGUAGAGAUCGGGAGGAAUACCAGUGGCGAAGGCUGCCUUCUGUACUGACACUGACGCUGAGGUGCGAAAGCGUGGGUAGCAAACAGG